rnacentral:rRNA from 1 species
CUAACCCGAUAUGUGUGUGCACUGCGUGUGUCUACCCUUCGGCGAGUGGGGUGGGAAAGCCGUUGAACCCCCUUCCCGUUAGGGAUUGGGGAUUGCAAUUUUUUCCCAUGAACGAGGAAUUCCCAGUAAGCGCGGGUCAUAAGCUCGCGUUUAUUAACUCCCUGCCCUUUGUACACACCACAA